rnacentral:piRNA from 1 species
UGAAUAGGGAUUCUGGACCUUACACGU